GAGCCUUGCAGACACAAAGAUCCUUUUAGCUUUUAACAUAUUUAAUAAUUUAUUAUUUAUCUGAUAUUUUGGUAAAUGUAUUCCUCAGAUCGUGCCUCUGCAUCUCCAGUUUCCAAUUUGCACCUACCUGACAUGGUUUCUAUUACAAUCCAUUGAUGCUCUUUAGGCAGCGGUUCCUCCUUUAACACUUCGUUAUCGCCCUAAUGAACUUCUCGGCUUCAUUUACUCAAGAAGACAGCUCUCUCCCCCUUUUAUAUUUUCCUGCUCACAGGCAUACAAAUCAUAUGUGUCACUAAUACAGGGUUGGUUUUCCCCGUGUUGAUUCUUUCUUAAACCAUGUUUGCCCUUCAGCCUGCUAUUAACCAGUUUCUCCCUACUUGGAAAAACUUGCUCUUUUAAAUUUCAUCAUUCAGUUUUUUUCCUCGGGGAUUUUACCCUUUAUUAAGCAGUCAAAACCAAUUUUGGAGCAAUCAUAGACAUCAAAUAGUCUCAUGAAUCUUUUGUAUCUUCCACAGCUCCUGACACAGGGGUGGGCACCCAGCAGGGAUGCAGUAAACACUUGUUGCCACCAAGAUGGUCAAGGAGCAGUUUUGAGAGAAAGGCGGGGGUGGGGUGGGGGGUACACUGGUCAAGUACCGAGAUGCAAAAAAGGAGAUGCGUGGGUUGGUUUGAAGGCUGGUUUUCAUCCCACAUGAGCUGUGUGACCUCAAGCAAGUUACUCAAAGGCUCUGUGCUUUAGUUUCUGCAGCUCUAAAAUGGGAAUGAGAGUCAUUCUGCCAUCUUCCAAGGCUUGCUGCAAGGAUUAAAUAACUAAAGCACUCAACCUGGUUCCUGGCAGAGCAAGCUCGGAACAAACAGUAACUUUGGUUAUCACUGACUGCCUUCUAUAUGCAAGACUUUUAGAGAUAAUAAGAGAUUAUCUUGGAUCACAUAAAGAAUCAGGCAAAUCAUCUCUGCCCCCUCCCUUCAGAAUUAAAAACCACAUAUGAUAAAGGUAUUGCGAUCUCCCUCCUCGUUGUCUACACAAGCACACAGGUGUGUGGAAAAUGGCCCCGCUGUGUGACCUCAAGGCCAGCAUCUAUAAAAUGGGAAUGAUGCUUUGUGUCUUGCAAAAGAAAGCACCCACAAUCUCUGUUCUUAGAUAUACCACUCACCUUCAUUUAAAUAACUUCUUGACUCGUUCGUCUGAAAUGAGUUGCCCACACACUAGUUCAGAACAGUUGCUAACAAGCCAACAGAAGCCAUCCAGGCCUAAGGAUGGGCCGACUCGGGUGGCAGAGGCAGAAAUGCCCACUAGGGGGCGAGCGCGUUCAUUCAUUUUCCCCAUGGUGGAUCAGUCCCAGAACCGGGAAAGGGAGAGCUGGCCUGUUCCCGGACCUGCUCCAGUCCCUUCUCUAUAUGCCCUACAGCCUCGGGUCCCCCACCGCCCCAGCUCAGGCAGCUUUAUUAAGUCCAUAUUAGAGCUGAGAAAUCUGAGGCUAACCUGCCCAGCAUCACAGAGCUGAGAGGAGAAACUGCAAUGGAACCCAGAUUUCUCUCACUCUACCAGGCGGCCACCCCCCACCAUCCCGGAGACGGCGCACUCAGCGUUGCCUGGGGAAGGGAAACGUGUGUAGACCCCUGAAACGCAGGCACUGACAACAGGGUGGGUCGCCCAUCUUCCCCUCUUUGGGGAAGCAUGUUUUCCAAAGUGUGUCCCAUGGAACCUGAGACCUGGGAGGUGCUCUGUAAAAAGGGCCUGGGGUCAUCCAAGUCUGUGGCAGUCACUAUGCUCUCUGAAAUACAAAGUUCACAUUAGUCUGUUAAAGGUUCUGAGAAGUCCUGCAGUCAAGAAAACUGUUUGCUUGACUUUAUUCAAGCAUUGGAAUUUCCCUGGCCUACUUGACAUCACCGUGUGUAUAUGUGUGUGUGUGUGUAUGUCAAUAUAGUAUGUAUGUGUAUGUUUGUAUACAUAUAUAUGAUAUAUAAUUGAGAAAUGCUGCUUUUGGCAAAUAGGGAACAUAAUGAAAGUGAAGAAAUGGAACCCUACCCACAUGAAUAAUGAACUGACACAGCUACUUUGAGGACUGAGGAAAAUGUGUCCAAACAAGAUACUUAUGGAAAGUCUGAGUUAUGACAACCAGAACCAUAGAGAAACCUAAAGUCUUUAUGAUAUGAAAAACCAUUUCAGCAUUCAGGACAACUCCCAAAUAUAAUGCAAAAGACAAAAUAAAAUGGCAACCAGGUUGCUUCACACCUUGGAGUAUAAAAUCUGUAUUUCAUGAGUUCAUCUCAGAGCUAAGAUAACCGCAUGGAAUGAUGAGGUUGCUAUGCUCACCAACAUGCUCAGCUGUUGCUGAGAUUCUGCACCAAGUGGCUUAGAGAGAACAGUUGUGCGGCACUGUUUACAAUAGCCAAGACACGGACACAACCUAAGUGUUCAUCCACAGAUGAAUGGAUAAAGAAAAUGACAGACACACGCACACACACAAUGGAAUACUAUUUAGCCAUUAAAAAGAAGGAAAUCCUACCAUUUGCGACAACGUGGAUUGACCUUGAGGGCAGUGUGCCAACUUAGACAAAUACUGCAUGAUUUCAUUUACAUGGAGAAUCUAAAAAAAUACUCAGAGAAAAAGAGACCAGGAGUUCCCCUGUGGCUCAGCAGGUUAAGGGGUUAAGGACCAGGAGUUGUCACUGUUGUAGCUCAGGCCACUUCUGUGGUGCAUGACAUAGAUAUGGCCAAAUUAAAAAAGUGAUCAGAUUUGUGAUUUCCAGGGGUGGGGGGAGGCACAUGGGUGUGGAGGAAUCGGAGAAGGUAGUCAAAGGUCAAAGUUCCGCUUAUAAGAGAGUAAGUACUGGGGAUGUUAUAUAGUAUAACUAUAGUAUGAUAACUACAGUUAAUGCUGCUGUAUGGUAUAUUUCAAAGUCACUAAAAAAAUAAAUCCUAGGAGUUCCCAUCAUGGUGCAGCGGAAAAGAAUCCAACUAGGAACCAUGAGGUUGCAGGUUUGAUCCCUGGCCUCGCUCAGUGGGUUAAGGAUUCUGCGUUGCAAUGAGCUGUGGUGUAGGCUGCAGGUGCGUACACGUUAUGUCAUGUCAUCAUGUGGUUCACCUUAAACUCACACAGCCCUGUAGACUGAUUAUAGCUCAAUAAAACUGAAAACCAAAAGGAUUUAAACCAGUAUGAUAUCGCUUCUAUGUGGCAUCUGAAGAGAGAGUACAAAUAAACUUAUCUGCAGAAGAGAGGCAGACUCA
rnacentral:lncRNA from 1 species